GCCCCCGGCGUAGCUCAGUCGGUAGAGCCGGGGACUGUUAACCUCAGGGUCGUGGGUUCGAGUUCCACACGGAGGGCA